AGGAUCUGCACGAAUAAAAACACAUCCCAAGCUAUAUUAAGUGGCAAGCAAGUGUUGAAAAGAAAUAUUAAGAUUUCCAGUCCCGUUGAAAAGAAAUAUUAAGAUUUCCAGUCCUGUUGAAAAGAAAUAUUAAGAUUUCCAGUCCUGUUGAAAAGAAAUAUUAAGAUUUCCAGUCCUGUUGAGAUAAUAAAUGAUCUAUUGCAAUAAUAAUUAGUCAUAUACAAAGCAACAUAAGGUCUAGGUCGCAAGCAAGGCUAGACAUAACACACAAGGUCAAAUUAUUCAGCAAGGCAUAAUACACAAGGUCAAGUUAUUCAACAAGACAACACACAAGGUCAAGUUAUUCAACAAGGCAUAAUACACAAAGUCAAAUUAUUUAGCAAGGCAUAAUACACAAGGUCAAGUUAUUCAACAAGGCAAAAUACACAAGGUCAAGUUAUUCAACAAGGCAUAACACACAAAGUCAAGUUAUUUAACAAGACAUAAUACACAAGGUCAAGUUAUUCAACAAGUAACACACAAUGUCAAGUUAUUCAACAAGACAUAACACACAAAGUCAAGUUAUUUAACAAGACAUAAUACACAAGGUCGAGAUAUACGACAAGACAUAACACAUAAGGGCUAGUUAUCCAACUAGACAUAUCACACAAGGGCUAGUUAUCCAACUAGACAUAACACACAAGGGCUAGUUAUCCAACUAGACAUAUCACACAAGGGCUAGUUAUCCAACUAGACAUAACACACAAGGGCUAGUUAUCCAACUAGACAUAUCACACAAGGGCUAGUUAUCCAACUAGACAUAUCACACAAGGGCUAGUUAUCCAACUAGACAUAACACACAAGGGCUAGUUAUCCAACUAGACAUAACACACAAGGGCUAGUUAUCCAACUAGACAUAUCACACAAGGGCUAGUUAUCCAACUAGACAUAUCACACAAGGGCUAGUUAUCCAACUAGACAUAACACACAAGGGCUAGUUAUCCAACUAGACAUCUGACCUAUUUUUAUGAUAUCUUUGAUUGCUUAUGAGCCUUUUUUUUCUUUAUUAUUGAUUUAAUUUAUUUUAAUUGUAUAAUUCUUUAUUAUUUAAUUUGAAUUUUUAAUUUGAUUAUUUGUAAUGUUGAUUUUUUAUUAUUAUUUUAAUUUGAUUAUUAUAAUAACUAUUGAUUGUAAUGUUAUAUAGUUAUGCAUGUAAUUUGUAGUAAUUAUGAUUUUAUUUUUUAAUUUCCUCGAUACUGUAUCAAAACUGGGGAGGAGCAAGACAACCCCAACACAAGGUCUAGACUUCAAGCAAGGUUAAACAAGGCACACAAAGUAUAGUUAUCCAACUAGACAUAAUACACAAGGUCUAGACUUCAAGUAAGGUUAAACAUGGCACACAAAGUCUAGUUAUCCAACUAGACAUAAUACACAAGGUCUAGACUUCAAGUAAGGUUAAACAUGGCACACAAAGUCUAGUUAUCCAACUAGACAUAAUACACAAGGUCUAGACUUCAAGUAAGGUUAAACAUGGCACACAAAGUCUAGUUAUCCAACUAGACAUAAUACACAAGGUCUAGACUUCAAGUAAGGUUAAACAUGGCACACAAAGUCUAGUUAUCCAUAACUACUAUAUACCCUAUAACAACUAGACAUAACAUAUAAAGUCUAGUAAUUCAACAAAACUAGACACAUCACAAGGUCUAGGUUUUAAGCAAGACUAGACAUAACACAAGGCCUAGUUAUUCAACAAAACUAGUUAUGGUUAGCCAUUCAGCAAGUACUCACAU